UCUUGAAUUUACCUUGUGAUGUGUCAUCUAGAAGGAAAAUAAACACUCACAUGUGUUACUGCAGUGUGAGACAGACAGAAGCUUAGUUACCUGAAAUUUAGCAAGUGUCAGGCUUUCUCAUAUGAGGCACAAUCAGAACCUGAACAAUUUUACUAAUUGAAUAAUCACUGAAUUCACUAGGAUCCAAGAAGAGCUUGAAGAGUACAAUCCAAUGGCUUGGAACAAGACUUGUUUAGCUGCAACCAGAUUGGUAACAAACCUUAAUGAAGAAAUGUGUGCCCUUCUGAA
rnacentral:lncRNA from 1 species